GCAGCCGAGCGGUAUGGAUCUUUCGGGAUCCAGAGAGCGGCGUACGGGUGCGGAACACGUGUGCAACCUGCCUUUAUCAGGGGGAUAGCCUUUCGAAAGGAAGAUUAAUACCCCAUAAUAUUUAGAAUGGCAUCAUUUUAAAUUGAAAACUCCGGUGGAUAGAGAUGGGCACGCGCAAGAUUAGAUAGUUGGUGAGGUAACGGCUCACCAAGUCUGCGAUCUUUAGGGGGCCUGAGAGGGUGAUCCCCCACACUGGUACUGAGACACGGACCAGACUCCUACGGGAGGCAGCAGUGAGGAAUAUUGGACAAUGGGUGCGAGCCUGAUCCAGCCAUCCCGCGUGAAGGACGACGGCCCUAUGGGUUGUAAACUUCUUUUGUAUAGGGAUAAACCUACCCUCGUGAGGGUAGCUGAAGGUACUAUACGAAUAAGCACCGGCUAACUCCGUGCCAGCAGCCGCGGUAAUACGGAGGGUGCAAGCGUUAUCCGGAUUUAUUGGGUUUAAAGGGUCCGUAGGCGGAUGUGUAAGUCAGUGGUGAAAUCUCACAGCUUAACUGUGAAACUGCCAUUGAUACUGCAUGUCUUGAGUGUUGUUGAAGUAGCUGGAAUAAGUAGUGUAGCGGUGAAAUGCAUAGAUAUUACUUAGAACACCAAUUGCGAAGGCAGGUUACUAAGCAACAACUGACGCUGAUGGACGAAAGCGUGGGGAGCGAACAGGAUUAGAUACCCUGGUAGUCCACGCCGUAAACGAUGCUAACUCGUUUUUGGGUUUUCGGAUUCAGAGACUAAGCGAAAGUGAUAAGUUAGCCACCUGGGGAGUACGAACGCAAGUUUGAAACUCAAAGGAAUUGACGGGGGCCCGCACAAGCGGUGGAUUAUGUGGUUUAAUUCGAUGAUACGCGAGGAACCUUACCAAGGCUUAAAUGGGAAA
rnacentral:rRNA from 1 species